UCCGCUUCUCAAUGCUCCAUUUGCAAAAUCAAAUUGAUUUUCUUGCAAAUGGGAUGAGAACCGGAAA
rnacentral:pre_miRNA from 1 species